rnacentral:lncRNA from 1 species
AAACCUCUCUUUGAAUGAAAUAUCAUUUGGGAUUUUAGGGUUUUAAAUUUCAUCUUCUUCUCUCUCUUACGGCUUCCAUUCUCAACCCAAUCUUGGGUUUCUUUUUCUUAAAUGGUCAUCCAUCUUUCUUCUCUCUUUUAAGUUCUUUCUCUCUGUCCAUAAAUAGACCACUGUUCACAUGGUAUCGGAGCCUGCCUUAGAAGACAUCGUCCAUUCUCAUCGACGAUCUUGAGAAUUCUUGGCUAGGUUGAAUUUUUUCUUGCUAAUCUUGGCAUUUUUUUUGUUCUUCCGUUUCUUUUGUCUUACUUCUUUGUGAUUAGGAUUUGUUGUGAUUAGGUUUAUGUUAUAUUCAAUAUAUCACAAUGAUAUCUUUUCUUUAAAAUUUCUUUCCGCUGUUAGUUUGGUAAUUAUUGAUUUUAGUGGCCUAAUGACAGGAUAUUCUAUAAAAAAAUUUCCAAACCUCAAAUUACUCUCCAAUUUUAUUUUUACAGAGUGUUUAGUGGCCCUGACUGAAAGCAACUGUUUGAAAGGUUUUCUGGAUGGAUCUGAAGAGAAACCUAGGGAAUUUGCAAAAGGAUCUGAUGGUAAAAUAGGAGCAAAUCCGGAUUACAUUGCAUGGAAGAAGACAGAUAGAAUUGUAAAAGCUUGGAUAACUUCUUCCUUAUCUGAGGAUGCGAUGGGAGUAGUGGAAGGUCAUAACACUACCACUGAGGUAUGUGAUGUUGUUUCUCAACAUUUUGCACCUAUAUCAAAAGCUAGAGAGUUUGAAUUGCUUGCAUCCUUAAGGAAUUUACCUAGGAACCAAUUUUCAUGCUUAAAUGAUUUCGUAAAAAAAUUUAUACACUAUGUUGAUCAGCUUAAUGCUAUAGGCGUAAACUUAUCAGAUGAGGAUCAAUCUUUGACCUUAUUUGAUAAUCUCAGUCAUGUUUAUGAUAGCUUUAUUACUAGUAUGUUGAAACCACCUGUUCCUAGUUUUAAGGAUAUGAUUCCGCUUUUACAUAAUCAUGAAUUGAGACUGAAUAAAAAUAAAAAUUCUGGUAUUCUUUCAAAUCCCAUCAGUCUACCAAAUCCUUCUCAAUCUGAUCCAACAAUUUUUUAUACAAAUAAAUACAGAAAUCAUAAUUAUCAGGGUAAGAACUUUUCCUCCCAAGGAAAAUUUUUAAUCCAAACUUCAAUCAAUCUAAAAUUCCUAAUUCAUCAUGUCCACCAAACUGCCCUCAUGGUUAUCAUUCCUAUGAUGCAAACAAUUACAAUAAUGGUAAUAAUACCACUCUUAACUACAAACAGAGAAUUCUCAGGUGUGAUUUGUCAAAUUUAUAGAAAAAAGGGACAUGAAGCGUAUAAGUGUUACCAGAGGUACAAUCCAGUACAAUAUAGUAAUAACACCUCAAAGGUGUACAUGAUUGAAAAAAAUGAUCAGGAGCAAGAUGAUGAUCAAAAUGAAUGGUAUAUAGACUCUGGAGCUACAGAUCAUAUCACUUAUGAUGAUGGUAAGUUGUGUGAUAUUAUUAGUUAUAAUAAUAAUGACUUUAUAAUGGUAGGAAAUGGAGAAUUUAUUUCUAUCACUAAAAGCGUGGAUACUUUAAUUAUUGGGAAAAUCUUAAUAAAUCUCAAACAAGUUCUUGUUGUUCCACAGAUUAAAAAAAAUCUAAUAUCAAUAUCAAAACUAACUAAGGAUUCAAAUUAUUAUAUUAUAUUUACAAAAACUCAUUGUUUUGUAAAGGAUAUGAAGGACAACAAAACAAUAAUCAGUGGAAUUGAAGAGAAUGGACUAUAUAAGAUCCAACCUCCAAAAGUGUGUAUGCUUACUUCUUCUGUCAUUACUGAUGGUGACAUAUGUCACAAAAGGUUGUGUCAUUCAAACAAUGAGAUGUUAAAUAAACUAAAAAAACAAGGACACGUAGAUUUUAAGAAAGUAAGUGAAACUUAUCGUAGUUGUUACAUUAGAAAAAGUAAAAAUUUACCUUUCACUUACAAACAUAAAAGGUGUGAAAAACCUUUUGAUAGAGGGAAAUCGCCAGUAACAUCUCGUGCAAAAUUUCAAUACUUUGCGAUCUUUAUUGAUGAUUUUUCACAUUUUAUUUGGUUUAAUCUUCAAGUUUGAUUUUUUCAAUUGCUUUAUAAAUUGUAAUAAUCUGAUAAUGAAUCAAUUUAAUUGCAAAAUGAAAUGUUUUCAAAGUGAUAAUGGAACUGAGUUUAUAAACAAAAAUAUUUCUGAUUUUUUUAAAAGUAUAUUGUGUGUUCUGUUUUUUUUGUGUGUAUUACAGACUAUGAUUGAAUCUUGAAAACAAGUUCUGUUUUUUUUUUUUGAAAUACAUGAUAUGAUCAUUUAAGUAUAAUUUUUAAAUUGUUUACUGAAAUUUCAUUAUUAAGUAAUAACUGAUUGAAAUUAGAGAUUGGUUUAAAGUUAAUUGCAGAAAUUAUUCUGCUUGAAUAUGGCAUGAAUUAAGAUGGUUGAUUUUUUAUGACUAUUCAAUCAAAAUUGCGUGUAAUCAUUUGUUGCUUGAAAGUUGUUGAAGUGUAUGGUUGCAGGGUCAGAAAAUUUGCUUGAAUUGCCUCAGUCUGUGAGUAUGAUUGUGUUGAUGGUAUGGUUUUUCUUCGGAGAAAGAUGGGAAAGACCACAACUACUUAGAAAAAGAUGCCAAAAGAGCACACCUGAGGUUUUUUCACCAGCCCAACAACUCGAUCAUUCUCUAGUGAAGUUUAACUUUACUUUCGGACAUUAACUUUGCAGGGAUACAAAACUGAUUAUAUCAUAAUGAAGCUUGCAAAAUCAUUAAUCUGGAGUAUGUGUGUUGCAAAUCAAGAUUCUUCACUCAAAAUGCUAGAUUUGAGGGGGACUAUUAAUAUAUAAUAUUAAUGGGUUUAUGUGUAAAUAGACCAGGUUUAGUUUAGCAUAUAUAAGACUAAAGUAUGUAAAAGUAUUAAGAAAUUUUUGAAACCUCUCUUUGAAUGAAAUAUCAUUUGGGAUUUUAAGGUUUUAAAUUUCAUCUUCUUCUCUCUCUUACGGCUUCCAUUCUCAACCCAAUCUUGGGUUUCUUUUUCUUAAAU